rnacentral:hammerhead_ribozyme from 1 species
AUCUAGUUGACCAGUUCCAAAUAGGAUGAAAUGCGUAUCCUGGAU